rnacentral:misc_RNA from 1 species
UGCAACUCGACUUCAUGAAGUUGGAAUCGCUAGUAAUCGCGAAUCAGCAUGUCGCGGUGAAUACGUUCUCGGGGUUUGUACACACCGCCCGUCAAACCACGAAAAUCGGUAAUACUCGAAAGCGGUGGCCUAACUUCUUCGGAAGAGGGAACCGUCUAAGGUAGGAUUGAUGAUUGGGGUUAAGUCGUAACAAGGUAUCCCUACCGGAAGGUGGGGAUGGAUCACCUCCUUUCUAAGGAAAAGUUUUUAAAUUUUCAUCUUCAGUUUUGAAAGACUUAGUUCUUAUAAGUUUUUCCUUUUUUAAGAAAAAAAAGAAGGAGGGCCUAUAGCUCAGUUGGUUAGAGCACACGCCUGAUAAGCGUGAGGUCGAUGGUUCAAGUCCAUUUAGGCCCACCAACUGAAAAAGGUCAUCUUUCUUAUUCUUAACAAAAGUUCUUUGAAAAGUAGAUAAACAAAGUAAAAUAAUAAAAUCAAAGGAAUCAAGGGCGUACAGUGGAUGCCUUGGCACUAAGAGCCGAUGAAGGA